GCCUAACACAUGCAAGUCGAGCGGAUGAGUGGAGCUUGCUCCAUGAUUCAGCGGCGGACGGGUGAGUAAUGCCUAGGAAUCUGCCUGGUAGUGGGGGACAACGUUUCGAAAGGAACGCUAAUACCGCAUACGUCCUACGGGAGAAAGUGGGGGAUCUUCGGACCUCACGCUAUCAGAUGAGCCUAGGUCGGAUUAGCUAGUUGGUGAGGUAAAGGCUCACCAAGGCGACGAUCCGUAACUGGUCUGAGAGGAUGAUCAGUCACACUGGAACUGAGACACGGUCCAGACUCCUACGGGAGGCAGCAGUGGGGAAUAUUGGACAAUGGGCGAAAGCCUGAUCCAGCCAUGCCGCGUGUGUGAAGAAGGUCUUCGGAUUGUAAAGCACUUUAAGUUGGGAGGAAGGGCAGUAAGUUAAUACCUUGCUGUUUUGACGUUACCGACAGAAUAAGCACCGGCUAACUUCGUGCCAGCAGCCGCGGUAAUACGAAGGGUGCAAGCGUUAAUCGGAAUUACUGGGCGUAAAGCGCGCGUAGGUGGUUCGUUAAGUUGGAUGUGAAAGCCCCGGGCUCAACCUGGGAACUGCAUCCAAAACUGGCGAGCUAGAGUAUGGCAGAGGGUGGUGGAAUUUCCUGUGUAGCGGUGAAAUGCGUAGAUAUAGGAAGGAACACCAGUGGCGAAGGCGACCACCUGGGCUAAUACUGACACUGAGGUGCGAAAGCGUGGGGAGCAAACAG
rnacentral:rRNA from 2 species